rnacentral:tRNA from 1 species
GCAUUGGUGGUUCAGUGGUAGAAUUCUCACCUUUCACGCUGGAGACCCGGAUUCAAUUGCCGGCAAGUGCA